rnacentral:rRNA from 1 species
CCUGACUGUGCGAAGGUAGCAUAAUAAUUUGCCUUUUAAUUAGAGGAUGGAAUGAAUGGCUUGAUGAGGAUACAGCUGUCUUAUAUAUAUUUAUUAAAAGUUAAUUUUUAAGUUAAAAAGCUUAAAUAAAAUUAAAAGACGAGAAGACCCUAUUAAGCUUAAGAGAAAAUGUCUAAUUUAUAUUAUAGUAAAGAUGUAACAUUGACAGUAAAACUUUAGUUGGGGCGACUUGGGAGCAAAAAAAACCUCCUAUAAAAAAUAAAAUUUGAUUUAUGAGCCAAAAAGUUUUGAAUUAAGAACAAGUUACUAUAGGGAUAACAGCGUAAUUUUAUUUGAGAGCUCUAAUCGAAAAUAAAGUUUGCGACCUCGAUGUUGGAUUAAGAAAUAGUAAAAGUUGCAGAAGCUUUUAUAAUUAGUCUGUUCGACUAUUAAUAUCUUACAUGAUCUGAGUUCAAACCGGA